UGUCAGGAUGGCGGAGUGGUCUAACGCGCCAGACUCAAGUUCUGGUCCUCUAACGAGGGCGUGGGUUCAAAUCCCACUUCUGACAUUUUUACCG
rnacentral:tRNA from 1 species